UCGUAUCGGGCCAGGUCAAUUGAGCCCACCACCCAGGCUCACGACAGGCAGAAGAGAAAAAAAGGGGCACCCGUGAACCAGCCGAUUCCCCAUUCUCUCCACCGCGUCGUCGCCUCCGACGGCGCCGCCGUUCCCCUUUCAUCUCGACCUCGGGCAAGUAGCUGGCAUCGCUCGCCGUCGUCGCUUCCAGGCGAGGCCAUCGGCGGCCGCCGUCGCUUCUUCCUAGAGACCGCCGCCGUCUCCCCACACCCGCGCGGCACCCCGUCUUGCCCUCUCCCUCUAGGGUUUUCUUGGGCGUCGAAUCGCUGUAAGCCCCUCGAUAACUUCUCUGGUUGUUUUGCUUGGAGCUCCAGCUCAGGGAGCACGGCUUUGAUUUGGGGAUCGUGCCUCUCCUGCCUCUCUGGUGUGGAGCUAUCGAUUUUCCUCGCCCAGAUUCCGCCAUGGCUGCUCAAUCACGCUUCUACUAACUGCAAGCAUUUCCCUUUUGGUUUCAUGUACAACUACUGCCCACUGUUUACUGAAUGACUUUCUUCCUCAGUUAAUGAUGCUUUUAUUGAUUCACUGCUUAUUCAGACUCCAUGCAGUCCAACCUAUGAAAUGUGCCUGAUUUCCCUGUUUUGUGUACAACAAUAGAAGUACACCCUUCUUUCCUCUUGACGUUGGGAAACAACAGCGUUUUGGCUCAAUCAUUCACUUUCCUUCUCUCUAGGGUGCAUCUUGAACUACUAGAAUAUUUACCGUGUGAUGUGCCUCAUUUUGUGCGCGCACGUGUGGAUCAUAACAUGAUAUUGCUAUAUAUAUGCAUGACUGAUACGUCUAUGUGCUUUGCCCGUGUAUACUUGGCUUCGAUAGUUUCUCAGACCUAUGAAUAUGUUCUUUAAAUAUUGUUAUACCAUUCUACAGUCAAUCUGUUAAUCAGUUCUUAUAUGUUAUUCGAACCCCACCUCUACAAUCGUAUAUUAGUAAAUGUUUGUCCUCAAUUGUUUUAAUG
rnacentral:lncRNA from 1 species